rnacentral:rRNA from 1 species
AUUGAACGCUGGCGGCAGGCCUAACACAUGCAAGUCGAACGAGUGGCGGACGGGUGAGUAAUGUCUGGGAAACUGCCCGAUGGAGGGGGCUAACUACUGGAAACGGUAGCUAAUACACCAUAUCAUCGGAUGUGCCCAGAUGGGAUUAGCUAGGUGGUGGGGUAAGGGCUGACCUAGGCGACGAUCACUAGCUGGUCGGAGAGGAUGACCAGGCACGCUGGAACUGAGGCACGGUCCAGUCGCCACCGGGAGGCAGCAGAGGGGAAUAGUGCAGUAUGGGAGCGAGCCUGAUGCAGCAAGGCCGCGUGUAUGAAGAAGGCAUUCGGGUUGAAGGGUAAAUGCAUUGAGAUGGCGUUACUCGCAGAAGAAGCACCGGCUAACUCCGUGCCAGCAGCCGCGGUAAUUC